GUAGGGAAUAUUGCGCAAUGGACGAAAGUCUGACGCAGCGACGCCGCGUGAGUGAUGAAGGCCUUAGGGUCGUAAAGCUCUGUUGAAUGGGAAGAAAAAAAUGACGGUACCAUUCGAGGAAGGACCGGCUAACUUCGUGCCAGCAGCCGCGGUAAUACGAGGGGUCCUAGCGUUGUUCGGAAUCAUUGGGCGUAAAGGGUGUGUAGGUGGCCAUGUAAGUCAGGUGUGAAAGCCCCGGGCUCAACCCGGGAAGUGCACUUGAUACUGCGGGGCUUGAGUACCGAAGAGGGUAGUGGAAUUCCAGGUGUAGUGGUGAAAUACGUAGAUAUCUGGAGGAACACCGGUGGCGAAGGCGGCUACCUGGUCGAGUACUGACACUGAGACACGAAAGCAUGGGGAUCAAACAGGAUUAGAUACCCUGGUAGUCC
rnacentral:rRNA from 1 species